rnacentral:rRNA from 1 species
AAAUUGAAGAGUUUGAUCAUGGCUCAGAUUGAACGCUGGCGGCAGGCCUAACACAUGCAAGUCGAACGGUAACAGGAAGCAGCUUGCUGCUUUGCUGACGAGUGGCGGACGGGUGAGUAAUGUCUGGGAAACUGCCUGAUGGAGGGGGAUAACUACUGGAAACGGUGGCUAAUACCGCAUAACGUCGCAAGACCAAAGAGGGGGACCUUCGGGCCUCUUGCCAUCAGAUGUGCCCAGAUGGGAUUAGCUUGUUGGUGAGGUAACGGCUCACCAAGGCGACGAUCCCUAGCUGGUCUGAGAGGAUGACCAGCCACACUGGAACUGAGACACGGUCCAGACUCCUACGGGAGGCAGCAGUGGGGAAUAUUGCACAAUGGGCGCAAGCCUGAUGCAGCCAUGCCGCGUGUAUGAAGAAGGCCUUCGGGUUGUAAAGUACUUUCAGCGGGGAGGAAGGUGUUGUGGUUAAUAACCGCAGCAAUUGACGUUACCCGCAGAAGAAGCACCGGCUAACUCCGUGCCAGCAGCCGCGGUAAUACGGAGGGUGCAAGCGUUAAUCGGAAUUACUGGGCGUAAAGCGCACGCAGGCGGUCUGUCAAGUCGGAUGUGAAAUCCCCGGGCUCAACCUGGGAACUGCAUUCGAAACUGGCAGGCUUGAGUCUUGUAGAGGGGGUAGAAUUCCAGGUGUAGCGGUGAAAUGCGUAGAGAUCUGGAGGAAUACCGGUGGCGAAGGCGGCCCCCUGGACAAAGACUGACGCUCAGGUGCGAAAGCGUGGGGAGCAAACAGGAUUAGAUACCCUGGUAGUCCACGCCGUAAACGAUGUCUACUUGGAGGUUGUGCCCUUGAGGCGUGGCUUCCGGAGCUAACGCGUUAAGUAGACCGCCUGGGGAGUACGGCCGCAAGGUUAAAACUCAAAUGAAUUGACGGGGGCCCGCACAAGCGGUGGAGCAUGUGGUUUAAUUCGAUGCAACGCGAAGAACCUUACCUGGUCUUGACAUCCACAGAACUUUCCAGAGAUGGACUGGUGCCUUCGGGAACUGUGAGACAGGUGCUGCAUGGCUGUCGUCAGCUCGUGUUGUGAAAUGUUGGGUUAAGUCCCGCAACGAGCGCAACCCUUAUCCUUUGUUGCCAGCGAUUAGGUCGGGAACUCAAAGGAGACUGCCAGUGAUAAACUGGAGGAAGGUGGGGAUGACGUCAAGUCAUCAUGGCCCUUACGACCAGGGCUACACACGUGCUACAAUGGCGCAUACAAAGAGAAGCGACCUCGCGAGAGCAAGCGGACCUCAUAAAGUGCGUCGUAGUCCGGAUUGGAGUCUGCAACUCGACUCCAUGAAGUCGGAAUCGCUAGUAAUCGUGGAUCAGAAUGCCACGGUGAAUACGUUCCCGGGCCUUGUACACACCGCCCGUCACACCAUGGGAGUGGGUUGCAAAAGAAGUAGGUAGCUUAACCUUCGGGAGGGCGCUUACCACUUUGUGAUUCAUGACUGGGGUGAAGUCGUAACAAGGUAACCGUAGGGGAACCUGCGGUUGGAUCACCUCCUUACCUUAAAGAAGC